rnacentral:rRNA from 1 species
AUCGUAUGACAUUUUGUCGACGAUGAUUCAUUCAAAUUUCUGCCCUAUCAACUUUCGAUGGUAAGGUAGUGGCUUACCAUGGUUGCAACGGGUAACGGAGAAUUAGGGUUCGAUUCCGGAGAGGGAGCCUGAGAAACGGCUACCACAUCUAAGGAAGGCAGCAGGCGCGCAAAUUACCCAAUCCUGACACAGGUAGGUAGUGACAAAAAAUAACAAUACAGGGCUUUUUAAGUCUUGUAAUUGGAAUGAGUACAAUGUAAAAACCUUAGCGAGGAACAAUUGGAGGGCAAGUCUGGUGCCAGCAGCCGCGGUAAUUCCAGCUCCAAUAGCGUAUAUUAAAGUUGUUGCAGUUAAAAAGCUCGUAGUUGGAUUUUGGGAUAAGCUUGUUGGGCCGCCG